rnacentral:lncRNA from 1 species
UUCACCCAAUAUGCCAUUAAUUCAUCUGUAAACGCAAAUUCAAAACCUUGAUUCAACAUCGAGUACUUUACUAAACCAAAACUAAAACAAUCUAAGUAUACUUGAAAGUUAUUUAGAAAUAAAAAGGGGAUGGUUUCGAGCCUUCGACUCCUCUCCUUGAUUGUUUGAGUACAAGUCCCCUUACUCAAUUAGUCAAAUGAUUGUCAUUUCUCUUAAAAAGAUUC